rnacentral:rRNA from 1 species
CAGUCGCCACGGUAAUACGUAGGGUGCAAGCGUUAAUCGGAAUUACUGGGCGUAAAGCGUGCGCAGGCGGUUAUAUAAGUCAGAUGUGAAAUCCCCGGGCUCAACCUGGGAACUGCAUUUGAGACUGUACGGCUAGAGUGUGUCAGAGGGGGGUAGAACUCCACGUGUAGCAGUGAAAUGCGUAGAUAUGUGGAGGAAUACCGAUGGCGAAGGCAGCCCCCUGGGAUAACACUGACGCUCAUGCACGAAAGCGUGGGGAGCAAACAGGAUUAGAUACCCCGGUAGUCCCUGUCUCUUAUAC